CCUUCUUCCCUUUAAAUUCCUUUCGCUUCAAUUGCUUGAGUUGCGUUCUUUCUUCGUCUACUUUAAUUUUGAUCUAGUUUAAUUACGUUUAAGUAUUAUUAUUCUUCUCACUUUAUGGCUCCUACGCUGACUUUUGAGAUCAGGGAUUACGUAUUUUUAAAUACCCUAGUUUGCUACAGUUGUCUCUCUCUCCUAAUACACCUUAACCCAGCUACUUGGGACUCCUCUCCACGCCUUCAAUGCCUUAACGGCGGGAUAUACCGGAAAUAUCGCGCGCCGACCAACUGAUAGCUCCUUGGAAUGCAAAGCGGCGGAGGUAACUAGGUAAAUUCUUCAAAACAGAGCAGCGAAGAGAUUAGGCAAAAACGUCUUCUGGACCAGAUUUUUCCGGAGCUUCAAACCCUAACUAUUUUGUGGCAUUUAACAGAUUUGAGAGUACAACUAGACAAUCGGAGACAGCUUUCAUUUUCGAAUUUUUGAGAUUCUUCAAGGUUACUUUCAAACGAAGCUUGGAGGAGUUCAUUCAAAAUCAGUCGAUUGAUGAUAACUAUGGAAUACUUGUCACUAAUGAUGUUAAAAGUCUCAAGUCUCAGAUAAACUCUCUCUUAGCAUCUGGUGCAUUUCUUGUGCCUUUCCUGUGCCUCGUUCUCCAGCAUCUGAUGAUAACUAAGGACUAGUUUAUUUUAUUAGUUUGUCUUGGAUGGUACCUUAAUGUUGAAUAUUGAAUGUAGGUUUUUUUGAGUUUUUGUUCUACUUUCUGUUUAAUUGGAUAUUGUUUAUGAAAUAGAUUGAAUUAGGUGUUGUAUAUGAAUUGGAUUGCAUGUUGAAUUUGGUAUUUGAAUGUUUAAUUGUAUUUAGUCUUGUA